AUUUUCCUAAAAUGCAAUAUGUUGGGAGAAAAUUUCCAUUCAAAAUAGGAUCUCAAGAGGCCCGGCUUUUUUAAAUACUCCUUUAAAAAUCCAUUAUCAGUCAUUAAGUAUNNNNNCNNUGGGACAAACUGCAGAGGAGAUGAAUUGUCCCCAGGGAGCAGAAGGGUACCGUGCAUAUCUAUAUAUUUAUGUUUCUAAGACAAUAAUUUAAUUUAGUGCUAAGAAGCUGCCUGGUUUGUGCUUUUAAUCAAGUUCUCAUGUCUUACUGUUUGUCUUCAAGGUCCAGCUUCCCACACUGAAAGCAACUGUCAUAUAAUCAUAUGAUGUGUCAUUAAGUUUUGUUCUUUUCUUGUAUGAGGGCCAUCAUUAUUUCCUCUCCAAUGGCCAAGGGGGCUGCGUUUUCCUCCAUUCUUUCAGUGAAACCUCCUGAACGUUUAGCUUCCUCCCCAGCCCAAAGGGAUGCAGCCCCGGCUGAGUGACCUGACUGACCCCCGAGGAAGGCAACCUGACACGAAGGGGAGACUCCUUGUUCACCCCGAUGCUUCAGAGGAUAAAAUGCAG
rnacentral:lncRNA from 14 species